rnacentral:lncRNA from 1 species
ACACUGAAGAGUCAGAUGACGAUUUAGAAGUUGAUGGUGUUGAUAGUGAUGAUGAUGUCAACUUAGAAGAUGAUUUUGAAUGAUAAAGUAUAUCAUAUUUUUAUAUGUAUUCUGAUGAUGUCAACUUAAAAGAUGAUGAUGUCAACUUAUAAACUUAUGAACAAUUAUUUUUUCAGAUGCCUCGAAGAGUAAUAUCAUCUAGAGGUAGAGGACAUAGCCAACAACUCUCUAUGAAUGAAACAGAUGAACCAGUACAGGUGCAAGAGGAAACACUGGAACACACUCCAUAAGCAUUAGGGGGGCAAGCAAAUGCAUUCUCAUCAUCAUCAGUUCGAACUAGAGGUUCGAACUUGGGACAUCCUAUCCCAUCAAACCUGUCUGAUCGACAAUUGAUUAGGUUGAAAGGAAAUGUGUAAGUAAUAUACAACUUUUUACUAUUGAUUUAAUAUGUAUUAUUACUUAUAACUACUCAUUAUAUAUAUAAAUAUUGUAGUUCUUUAGAUUUUACAGUUACUAGAUCAAUCACUAAUGACAUUAAGAUGCG